UACGUUGGGUGCAAGCGUUGUCCGGAAUUAUUGGGCGUAAAGAGCUCGUAGGCGGUUUGUCGCGUCUGCUGUGAAAACCCGAGGCUCAACCUCGGGCCUGCAGUGGGUACGGGCAGACUAGAGUGCGGUAGGGGAGAUUGGAAUUCCUGGUGUAGCGGUGGAAUGCGCAGAUAUCAGGAGGAACACCAAUGGCGAAGGCAGAUCUCUGGGCCGUAACUGACGCUGAGGAGCGAAAGCAUGGGGAGCGAACAGG
rnacentral:rRNA from 1 species